UCCAAAUGCAGCCAAGUAUCUUUAGUACUGUGGCUGUCUUUAGUAUUUUGCAGUCUUAAAAAAAAAAGGGAAGAUCAACAUAAGGAUAAACAUAGCGGGGUCUAGCCCUCUUCAGUGCUGGGACCCAACCUCAAUUCCUGUGUAACAGCCAGUUCUUGCUUUCUUUCAACUGUGUGGCAUAGCUGUAACCCACAAGAGGAAGAGAUAGGACUGAGUCUUGGCUCCUAAGGACAUAUAGCAUCAGCAACUAUAUUACCUGGGGGUUCCCAGCAGAUGCCCUGAAGUAUGCUGUGCCUGCCCUAUCUAGCGGGAGAAAACGAGAAGAACUGAAGGCAGGAAACAGCUCCUCUUUCUGCGACGGGGCAGCUAACAGAAGAAUGAGUGGUAGAAUGACUAACAGCAGGGGACUAUGAUGAAAUU